rnacentral:rRNA from 1 species
CAGUAGCCGCGGUAAUACGUAGGGUCCGAGCGUUGUCCGGAAUUAUUGGGCGUAAAGGGCUCGUAGGCGGUUUGUCGCGUCGGGAGUGAAAGCCAGCAGCUUAACUGCUGGUCUGCUUUCGAUACGGGCAGACUUGAGGCAUUCAGGGGAGAACGGAAUUCCUGGUGUAGCGGUGAAAUGCGUAGAGAUCAGAAGGAACAUCUGUGGCGAAAGCGGCUCACUGGACCAUUACUGACGCUGAUGCACGAAAGCUAGGGGAGCAAACAGGAUUAGAUACCCCCGUAGUCCCUGUCUCUUAUAA